rnacentral:rRNA from 1 species
AACGGUGGGUGGACCAACUCUCCGGCGGCAUAGGAUGGGCCUGCGGCGUAUCAGGUUGUAAAGGGUGUAAUGUACCCUCUAGCCCUCUACGCGUACGGGUGUUGAGAGACAUCGCCCGGAAAUGGAUUCUGAGACACGAAUCCAGACCCUACGGGGUGCAGCAGGCGCGAAAACUUGGCAAUGCGAGAAAUCGUGACCAGGGAACUCCAAGUGCAUCGGGUAAGACCGAUGCUUUUCUUGACUCUUCAAAGGUCUUGGAAUAAGGGGUGGGUAAGGACGGUGCCAGCCGCCGCGGUAAUACCGGCGCCCCAAGUGGUAGUCGCUUUUAUUGGGCCUAAAACGUCCGUAGCCGGUCUGGUACAUUCGUGGGUAAAUCAACCAGCUCAACUGGUUGAAUUCUGCGAGCACGGCCAGACUUGGGACCGGGAGAGGUGUGGGGUACUCUCAAGGUAGGGGUAAAAUCCUGUCAUCCUGAGAGGACCACCUGUUGCGAAGGCGCCACACUAGAACGGAUCCGACGGUCAGGGACGAAGCCUAG